GACGAACGCCGGCGGCGUGCCUAAUACAUGCAAGUCGAGCGGACAGAAGGGAGCUUGCUCCCGGAAGUUAGCGGCGGACGGGUGAGUAACACGUGGGCAACCUACCCUGCAGAUCGGGAUAACAUCGAGAAAUCGGUGCUAAUACCGGAUAAUCAUUUGAAGUGCAUGCUUCGAAUGUAAAAGAUGGCUCCGGCUAUCACUACGGGAUGGGCCCGCGGCGCAUUAGCCGGUUGGUAAGGUAAUGGCUUACCAAGGCAACGAUGCGUAGCCGACCUGAGAGGGUGAUCGGCCACACUGGGACUGAGACACGGCCCAGACUCCUACGGGAGGCAGCAGUAGGGAAUCUUCCGCAAUGGACGAAAGUCUGACGGAGCAACGCCGCGUGAGUGAUGAAGGUUUUCGGAUCGUAAAGCUCUGUUGUUAGGGAAGAACAAGUGCCGUUUGAAUAAGGCGGCACCUUGACGGUACCUAACCAGAAAGCCACGGCUAACUACGUGCCAGCCGCCGCAGUAAGAC
rnacentral:rRNA from 1 species